rnacentral:rRNA from 1 species
GACGAACGCUGGCGGCGUGCUUAACACAUGCAAGUCGGACGCUGAAGCUCAGCUUUUGUUGGGUGGAUGAGUGGCGAACGGGUGAGUAACACGUGAGUAACCUGCCUCCUUCUUUGGGAUAACGCCCGGAAACGGGUGCUAAUACUGGAUAUUCACUGGUCUUCGCAUGGGGGUUGGUGGAAAGGGUUUUUCUGGUGGGGGAUGGGCUCGCGGCCUAUCAGCUUGUUGGUGGGGUGAUGGCCUACCAAGGCUUUGACGGGUAGCCGGCCUGAGAGGGUGACCGGUCACAUUGGGACUGAGAUACGGCCCAGACUCCUACGGGAGGCAGCAGUGGGGAAUAUUGCACAAUGGGCGCAAGCCUGAUGCAGCGACGCCGCGUGAGGGAUGGAGGCCUUCGGGUUGUGAACCUCUUUCGCUCAUGGUCAAGCCGCAACAAUGGUUGUGGUGAGGGUAGUGGGUAAAGAAGCGCCGGCUAACUACGUG